AAUCAGAGUACAUGCGUCACUCAACAGAGGAUUAGUGGUUCUGGCAGCAGACUGGAGACUUCAGAUUAAACAGGACAGAGAAUUUCAAGAGCGGGAGGACUGGCUGUGCUUAACUGCCUGUAUAACAAGUUAAACAAUGACUGAAGUCAGUAAUGCUUUCUCAGUGCCUGUGCACUGCCCCAAAAGCCCUUGGUCAAUUUUGGUGAAAGACGCUCAACGAAGACAGGAAUGGGUGAAGACAUUUUGUACAGUGUAUGAAGAAAGUGUGUUUUGCUUCACGACUGGCUGUUUAAUGAAUCAAAUUGCAUCUGGGACCCAAUGCCGAGCGCUUGCCUUUCAUAUAAGAAAAUGUUAGGGUCUAGGCUAGCUUCUUAAAGUAUUUUGAGGGGCUUUGGUCUGUUCCAUAACAGUAUUCACUUUCUUUUCAAGUAUAUGUAAGCAAAUGGGAGCAUUUUGAAGUAAUGAUUUUUGAAGAUGUUUACUGGUAUUAAAGUGGCACACACAUCUAACCAUCUCAAGGUCUCAGAGACAAUUUUAAAUUAAUUUGCCGAGAUUAACUCAUGAAGAAUACUGCAGUCAAAUUGUGACUUUGUGAGACUGCAGCAUGUCUUCAGGAUCAGGAAAACCAAGUUUUAAGAAAUCACGUGCCACACUUGGGCAAGGGUAAAAUGAGCCAUUUGCUGAUCUUUGCCUAAUGACAAAGCAACGACACCGGGCUAUUCAUUUAUUACACACUCAGUUAGGCUAUCAACAAUGACUUGACCAUCAUUGCUAAGAAAUGGCCUCAGUUUGUAAUAUGUAUUUCUGAAAAA